CGGCACGGGUGAGUAACACGUAUCCAACCUGCCGUCUACUCUUGGACAGCCUUCUGAAAGGAAGAUUAAUACAAGAUGGCAUCAUGAGUACGCAUGUUCACAUGAUUAAAGGUAUUCCGGUAGACGAUGGGGAUGCGUUCCAUUAGAUAGUAGGCGGGGUAACGGCCCACCUAGUCUUCGAUGGAUAGGGGUUCUGAGAGGAAGGUCCCCCACAUUGGAACUGAGACACGGUCCAA
rnacentral:rRNA from 1 species